GAUGAAGAACGCAGCGAAAUGCGAUAAGUAAUGUGAAUUGCAGAAUUCAGUGAAUCAUCGAAUCUUUGAACGCACAUUGCGCCCUCUGGUAUUCCGGGGGGCAUGCCUGUUCGAGCGUCAUUAUAACCACUCAAGCUCUCGCUUGGUAUUGGGGUUCGCGGUUCCGCGGUCCCUAAAAUCAGUGGCGGUGCCUGUCGGCUCUACGCGUAGUAAUACUCCUCGCGAUUGAGUCCGGUAGGUCUACUUGCCAGCAACCCCCAAUUUUUACAGGUUGACCUCGGAUCAGGUAGGGAUACCCGCUGAACUUAAGCAUAUCAAUAAGCGGAGGA
rnacentral:misc_RNA from 1 species